UACGGCCAUACCACGUCGAAACAUAGAUUCUCUUCUGAUCACUGAAGUUAAGCAACGUCGAGACUGGUCAUUACCUAGAUGGGUGGUCGCUUGGGAAUACCAGGAGCUGUGA